CAAGUGCGCUUUUUCGUUGUGUCCACAUGUCCUUCUACUGUGCUGGUUUUACCGCGUCGAUAUAAGAACCAGCGUUGAAAACCCUAGGCUCUCGUUUCCCCCAAUCCCACCGCCGCACGCUGUCUCUCCCAUGUUCAUCCUCCCACUUAUCCACCUCCACGUCCUUCUCCUCCUCUCCUUGCGUCGUCGGUCUGGAAGCUGGUAGCCGACGCCGCCGCUCGCCAUUUCCCGCGCCUCCGGAUCUGAGCUCGCGCGCGGUGGCGCGACUGGUGGAUGAAAGCUGGGUCCUGAGCAGAACACAACGCCGUCCCGCUCCCUGCUGCCGUUGGAGAGGCGGGGAUGGCUCCUCGGCUUCGAAGGUCAUAGCCUGACGGCGCCUACCCUCCUGUUUCGGCCUGGGGCGUUGGGGAGUCAUGGCCGACAGCGACCUCAAGUUCUUUGCCUGACGCCGCUGGCCAAGAUACUGCUGCAACUUCAAGACAGCAAGGGGCAUCAGGCUUCACGGCUACACAUUCAUCUUUGAUUUUCUCCCCAAAUCUGAAAUUGUUUGACCCCUAAAUUUUAAUCCCCUUGAGUAAGCGAGAGUAUUCAUGGAAUAUGGUCUAUUGAUGAUGACAAAUUUGAUUGCAGCAGGGACUGGCAAAGUAA